rnacentral:rRNA from 1 species
GAUGAACGCUGGCGGCGUGCCUAAUACAUGCAAGUCGAGCGAACGGACGAGAAGCUUGCUUCUCUGAUGUUAGCGGCGGACGGGUGAGUAACACGUGGAUAACCUACCUAUAAGACUGGGAUAACUUCGGGAAACCGGAGCUUAUACCGGAUAAUAUUUUGCACCGCAUGGUUCAAAAGUGAAAGACGGUCUUGCUGUCACUUAUAGAUGGAUCCGCGCUGCAUUAGCUAGUUGGUAAGGUAACGGCUUACCAAGGCUACGAUGCAUAGCCGACCUGAGAGGGGGAUAGGCCACCCGGGAACUGGGACACGGUCCAGACGACUACGGGAGGCAGCAGAAGGGAAUCGUCCGCAGUGGGCGAAAGCCUGACAGAGCAACGCCGCGUGAGUGAUGGAGGUCUUCGGAUCGUAAUACUCUGUUAUGAGGGAAGAACAUAUGUGUAAGUAACUGUGCAGAGCGUGACGGUACCUGGUCAGAAAGCCACGGCUAACUACGUG